ACCUUAUUCUUUCUCUUUGUUAAAAUGUUGGUUUUAUUUGCCAGCUAUAUUAUAUAUUGUACAUUUUCUCCUUCUUUUGUUCAGAAUUUGGUGGUCAUAAUUGAAUCUCUUGACUUUUGAAGGUUUUUUUUUGUGUUGUUGAAAUAAAAAGUAUUAAAGAUUUUCUUCACUCAGCACCGUGAUUAGCAGUUCUGUCAUCACGCCGUGGCGAUGAGCGCGGAAUACGCUGAACAGAGCUGAAACGAGAGCUGAGCCGGAGCGGCAAUUACGCUGCGGACUGCACGGGGAAUGACGGGACUUUGUGACGGAGCGUCGCUGGAGCAAGACACUUUUCUUCAUCAUAUAUCUUUUACAAUGAACCACAUUUAGUUGUUCCGAUUAGAAAAGCAGUUUAUGAGCUUUCUGGCAGAUUCUGGUUUUAAUCCGGACCCCAAAGAUGCUUUUGACAGAACUUCUGCUCUUCUUUGUAUUAUUAUGCCCAACAGCUCAGCCCACCGACCACCCGCCAGUCAUUAACAGUGACAUUUUCCUGGGGACGCCGUUCACUCCAGGACAGUCGUACCUGAGCCUGCUACUGCUGGUGCUGACCGUGGGCUUGUCCGGCAGUGUCUACCUCUGUGUGCUGCGCUACAUCUGUAAAGGUUGCUGCCAGCCUGUGCUGGUGGGUCCCGAGGAUGAGAACGUGUCGGGGGUCGUCUGAAAGGACUACCUAACACAAUUUCCUCCCCCCGUGCACACACGUGCUUCAUUUCUAUUCGGGGCUUUACACAUGUCACCACAUGGUGUGAUGGGAUAAUGACUGUGAACAAGGCCUGGCGAUUGUGUUGCAUGCCAUCUAGCAUCAGCCUUCAGUGCCACAGGACUGGCUCACAUUCUCCAGAUUUCACUUUUUCUUUGAGUUUCGCUGAGUUUCACUUUUUCUUGGAGUAACACUGGCAUUUCUAUUAUGAGGCAAACUGGAUUUAAGUGUGACAUUAAAUGGAUUAAUUAGAAAUAAUGCCUGAUUUCCAAUAGUAAUAGUCACUGGUAUGUGCAAAGAGAGAUAAAUUAACAAAAAAUUAAAAAUUAAAAUAAAAUAAAUACAAUAACAUUAUAAUUAACAAAACAAUGCCCCUGGGCUGAUUUGGGUUGAUAAAAAUGUAAAUGGAUAUGUGAUGUCUGCAGCGGUUGUUGCCAGGGGCUACUGAUAGAUUAGAUAGUUGCUAUGGAAACAAAUUAAGCCUAUAUGCCCCUAGAUGGGGCUGUGGUUCAUCAUCAAGUAAUUCUGUACCUUUCCUAACAGCUUUUGGGCUGACUGUGACCAUGUUACCAAUGUUCCAAGUCAAUUGUUCAGAAGGUUUAUUAAAUUAUUUUAUGCAGGAAUCUGUGGUAGAUGGCAAUAUCUAAGAGAGAGUUCUUAAUUUGAUUGGUCUAUCCUUCUAAAAGUGGGCUCUGUUAAUGGAGCAUGUUUUCAUGAACACCAUCUUUUUUCAGACCCAUAUGACAAACCAUCAAGCUGUGACAGUUUUGUAUAAUAAUGUAAAUAUUUUUAUACUGUGUGUAUAAUUAACUGUGUGUACAUGUAUAUAUUAAUGUAUUGUAUUUUUAUUUCGUUCAUUUACUUUGGGAGUUUUUUGUCUUAGAAGGGUAGUGGGAUCAAAAAAUUCUAAUAAAUGUUAUCAUGAAGAGAGA
ensembl:lncRNA